rnacentral:rRNA from 1 species
AUCAAAAACAUGUCUUUAAGAAUUAAUUUAAGGUCUAAUCUGCUCGAUGAAGUUUAAAUUGCUGCAGGAUUUUUUACUGUACAAAGGUAGCAUAAUAAAUAGUUUGUUGAAUAUGAGCUAGAAUGAAUGAUUACAUGAAAUACUAACUUUUUUAAUCUAAUUGGGUUGAAUUUUAAUUCUAAGUAAGAAUUUUUAGAUGUUAAUAAGGGACGAGAAGACCCCGUAGAUUUUUAUAAAUUUUAUUAAGUUGUUUUGUUUCUAUGGUGUAUUUAGUAUAAUUUAUUUAGAUGGGAUAUUUGAACAAAAUAUAAAUUUUUUUAUAGUUGAGACAAUAAUAUUUGAUUAGAUAAAUAACUUUUUGUUGGUUUACAGGAAAAUACCUUGGGGAUAACAGCAUAAUGGAAUGUCAAAGGUCAAAUUUGACAUUCAGUUUGUGACCUCGAUGUUG